AGGAAAGUCCGGGCAGCAAAGAGCAGCGUACCUCGUGAAAACGAGGGCGUAACAGCAGCAAUGCUGUUGCGACAGAAAGUGCCACAGAAACUAUACCGUCCGCCUCAGGCGGAUAAGGGUGAAAACGUGAGGUAAGAGCUCACGUCCCGAAGGGGUAACUCUUCGGGAGGGUAAACCUUGCGCGCUGAAAGAGCAAAUAAACCAGGUGCCCUUUUGGGGUAUGGGUUGCUCGCUCUACCGGCUUGCCGGCACUUGGAGGGUAGCUCGAUUGAACAACCGUUGUGUUGUCAGAUAAAUGAUAGAAUUCCUUUUCAGGAAACAGAACCCGGCUUACAGGUUUGCACUUUUU
rnacentral:RNase_P_RNA from 1 species